rnacentral:rRNA from 1 species
UACGUAGGGUGCAAGCGUUAAUCGGAAUUACUGGGCGUAAAGCGUGCGCAGGCGGUUGUGCAAGACAGAUGUGAAAUCCCCGGGCUCAACCUGGGAAUUGCAUUUGUGACUGCACGGCUAGAGUGUGUCGGAGGGGGGUAGAAUUCCACGUGUAGCAGUGAAAUGCGUAGAGAUGUGGAGGAAUACCGAUGGCGAAGGCAGCCCCCUGGGCCAAUACUGACGCUCAUGCACGAAAGCGUGGGGAGCAAACAGG